CCCUCCCCAUGUGCUACAUACUAAAUCAGUGCUACGGUUUACUUCCCCUUGGAGAAAAUGAAGAUAGCAGAGAAGGAAAGGAAAGUAAAAGUCAUAUAAAAGUGGGUCUGGAGUAAACAACAGACGAACUGAGCUAUUUUUGAAAGAACAUGACCACCUUCAAAAAGAUAUGAACUGUGUCCCCAUCAGGAUGGAGCCUAAAAAAGAAUAGAUAAUGGGGAAAUGGUGGAGUCAAUGAAGAAAGUAGCAGGGAUGGAUGUGGAGCUGACAGCUGAAGAAAGAAACCUCCUCUCUGUUACAUGUAAGAAUGUGAUUGGAGCUAGAAGAGCCUCCUGGAGAAGAAUCAGCAGCCUUGAACAGAAAGAAGGAAACAAGGGAGGAGAAGACAAGCUAAAAAUGAUUCGGAAAUACCGGCAAAUGGAUGAUCCUCCCCCAGAAAACUGUAACCCCAGCCCAACCAGGAGAAAAACAUCAGACCAACCCAAAAUGAGGGAUAUUCUACAAAGAACUUCACUCCUACUCCUCAAAACUGUCACGGUCACCAAAGCCAAGGAAAGCCUGAGAAACUGUCACGGACUGGAGAGCUAAAGAGACACGAUGAUUAAUUGCAAUGUGGAUGGGUACUGGAUGGGAUCCGGGAAUAGGAAAAGGUCAUUGGAAAAUUAGUGGAAUGUGAAUAAAGUAUAGAGUUUAGUUAA